rnacentral:rRNA from 1 species
CGUAGGUGGCAAGCGUUGUCCGGAUUUAUUGGGCGUAAAGCGAGCGCAGGCGGUUUUUUAGGUCUGAUGUGAAAGCCUUCGGCUUAACCGGAGAAGUGCAUCGGAAACCGGGAGACUUGAGUGCGGAAGAGGACAGUGGAACUCCAUGUGUAGCGGUGAAAUGCGUAGAUAUAUGGAAGAACACCAGUGGCGAAGGCGGCUGUCUGGUCUGCAACUAACGCUGAGGCUCGAAAGCAUGGGUAGCGAACAGGAUUAGAUACCCUGGUAGUCCAUGCCGUAAACGAUGAGUGCUAAGUGUUGGAGGGUUUCCGCCCUUCAGUGCUGCAGCUAACGCAUUAAGCACUCCGCCUGGGGAGUACGACCGCAAGGUUGAAACUCAAAGGAAUUGACGGGGGCCCGCACAAGCGGUGGAGCAUGUGGUUUAAUUCGAUGCUACGCGAAGAACCUUACCAGGUCUUGACAUCUUCUGCUAACCUAAGAGAUUAGGCGUUCCCUUCGGGGACGGAAUGACAGGUGGUGCAUGGUUGUCGUCAGCUCGUGUCGUGAGAUGUUGGGUUAAGUCCCGCAACGAGCGCAGCCCUUAUUGUCAGUUGCCAGCAUUUAGUUGGGCACUCUGGCGAGACUGCCGGUGACAAACCGGAGGAAGGUGGGGAUGACGUCAAAUCAUCAUGCUCCUUAUGACCUGGGCUACACACGUGCUACAAUGGACGGUACAACGAGUCGCGAAACCGCGAGGUCAAGCUAAUCUCUGAAAGCCGUUCUCAGUUCGGAUUGCAGGCUGCAACUCGCCUGCAUGAAGUUGGAAUCGCUAGUAAUCGUGGAUCAGCAUGCCACGGUGAAUACGUUCCCGGGCCUUGUACACACCGCCCGUCACACCAUGAGAGUUUGUAACACCCAAAGCCGGUGAGGUAACCUUCGGGAACCAGCCGUCUAAGGUGGGACAGAUGAUUAGGGUGAAGUCGUAACAAGGUAGCCGUAGGAGAACCUGCGGCUGGAUCACCUCCUUUCUAA